rnacentral:rRNA from 1 species
UUAGAUAUGUAAGGGCGUAUGGUGGAUGCCUUGACACUUCGUACCGAUGAAGGGCGUGAUAAGCUGCGAAAAUCUUGGGUGAGUUGCACAUAAGCGUUGACCCCGAGGUCCCCGAAUGGGUAAACCCGAUACAUUAUUAUGUAUUACCCACGACUGAAAUGAGUGAUCUAUUAGGUUGUGAGGAGGGAACCCGGCGAACUGAAACAUCUAAGUAACCGGAGGAAGAGAAAGCAAAAGCGAUUCCCUUAGUAGUGGCGAGCGAAAGGGGAACAGCCUAAACCGUGUAACUGUAUAAGCUUGCAGGCGUUGGUUGCACGGGGUAGUGGGAUAUAGGAGCUAGAGAGCUGCUAAUUUCUGACACAUUAAUAUUUAUUUAGGGGAACCAGUUGGAAAGCUGGACCGUAGAGGGUGCUAGUCCCGUACCUGGUGGUAUUUAUUACUGUGUAUCUUAUGUCCCAAGUACUGCGGAGCACGUGAAAUUCCGUAGGAAUCUGGGAGGACCAUCUCCUAAGGCUAAAUAUGCGAAGUGAUCGAUAGUGAACAAGUACCGUGAGGGAAAGGUGAAAAGUAUCUCGAAUAGAGAGGUGAAAUAGAACCUGAAACCGUAUGCCUACAAUCAGUGGUAGCACUAUAGUUUAAGUGUGACCGCGUUCCUAUUGAAGAAUGUGCCAUCGACUUACUGUGUGGAGCGAGGUUAAGGAGUUAACAUCCGGAGCCGUAGCGAAAGCGAGUGUGAAUAGCGCGUUUAGUUUCAUGCAGUAGACCCGAAACCGUGCGAUCUAGCUAUGGCCAGGUUGAAGCUUGAGUAAAAUCAAGUGGAGGACCGAACACACUAACGUUGAAAAGUUAGGUGAUGAGCUGUGGUUAGCGGCGAAAAACCAAUCGAGCACGGAGAUAGCUGGUUUUCCUCGAAAUGGCUUUAGGGUCAGCCUUAAGUUAGUUCUAUAGGGGUAGAGCACUGACUGGACUAGGGGCCCCACCAGGUUACCAAAUCCAAUCAAACUCCGAAUACUAUAGGAUGUUGCUUAGGAGUGAGACUGUGGGAGAAAAGUUUCAUAGUCGAAAGGGAAAGAGCCCGGACCGCCAGCUAAGGUCCCAAAUUGUAUACUAAGUGGAAAAGGAUGUGAAUUUUCCAAGACAGCUAGGAUGUUGGCUUAGAAGCAGCCACUCAUUUAAAGAGUGCGUAAUAGCUCACUAGUCGAGAGAAUUUGCGCCGACAAUGUAACGGGGCUAAGUAUACAACCGAAGCUGCGGGGCGAUGUAUUGAGAGAUACGUCGUCGGUAGAGGAACGUUCUGUGUUAGGGUGAAGGUAGACCGGGAGGACUACUGGACGAGACAGAAGUGAGAAUGAUGGUAUGAGUAACGAUAAAACAUGUGGGAAACAUGUUCGCCGAAAAUCUAAGGUUUCCUGGGGAAGGUUAAUCCGCCCAGGGUUAGUCGGUGCCUAAGGCGAGGCUGAAAAGCGUAGUCGAUGGAUAACAGGUUAAUAUUCCUGUACCGGUUAUAAUCGUUUGAGUGAUGCAGGGACGGAGCAAGAUAGCGGAGGUCCCCCUAAGACAUGGGGGCUCGAAGGGUGUAGGCGUCUUGGUGUAGUGAAGUACGCACUGAGGUUAAGCUGAGGCUCGUAAGGGCGUGGAUGGGAGCGAUCCUGGAAGCGUAUUCCGCGAUUCUACACUUCCUGGAAAAUCUGCUAGCGAGAUUAUGGACCGACCGUACCGNAAACCGACACAGGUAGAUGAGAUGAAUAUUCUAAGGCGCUCGAGUGAUCUCUCGUUAAGGAACUAGGCAAAAUUGACCCGUAACUUCGGGAGAAGGGUCGCCACCUAUGGUGAAGUCUUUACGACGUAAGCCGCGGGUGGUUGCAGAGAAAUGGCUGAAGCGACUGGUUACCAAAACCAUAGGCCAAUGCGAAGGGGCAACCCAAAGUAUAUUGGCUGACUCCUGCCCGGUGCCGGAAGGUUAACAGGAGUCGUUAGCCCAUUAGGGCGAAGCGGCGAAUCGAAGCCCCGGUAAACGGCGGCCGUAACAAUAACGGUCCUAAGGUAGCGAAAUUCCUUGUCGGGUAAGUUCCGACCUGCACG